GAAGAUGGCUGUGAAACUCAUUAGAAUAACCAUAUAACUCAUUAUUUAUGUUUGUCAACGUUUAUUAAUAAAUCUGGUCCUUAUAAUUCACCGUCACGUGUGUAUCGUAUUUUCCCAAUCCACCAAUAGCAAUUUCCCUAUUGUUCGAGUCACAGAUAGGGAACUUUCAUGAAAAAUUGCUAUUGUUUAGUUGGGCAAAAAUACAAAACACACGUGACGGUGAAGGACCAGAUUUAUAAAUAAACGUUGACCAGUUAUAUUGUUAUUCUAAUGAGUUUCACAGCCAUCUUC